ACUUGAAUAGUUUAUAAAAAAAUUUUGAUUUGUGGUAUCAAAGAUACAUCGUUGUUUUAAGUU
rnacentral:tRNA from 1 species